CAACAGGGAUUGCCCCAGUAACGGCGAGUGAAGCGGCAACAGCUCAAAUUUGAAAUCUGGCUCCUAGAGCCCGAGUUGUAAUUUGUAGAGGAUGCUUUUGAUGCGGUGCCUUCCGAGUUCCCUGGAACGGGACGCCAUAGAGGGUGAGAGCCCCGUCUGGUCGGAUGCCAAAUCUCUGUAAAGCUCCUUCGACGAGUCGAGUAGUUUGGGAAUGCUGCUCAAAAUGGGAGGUAUAUGUCUUCUAAAGCUAAAUACCGGCCAGAGACCGAUAGCGCACAAGUAGAGUGAUCGAAAGAUGAAAAGCACUUUGAAAAGAGGGUUAAAUAGUACGUGAAAUUGUUGAAAGGGAAGCGCCUAUGACCAGACUUGGGCCCGGUGAAUCAUCCAGCGUUCUCGCUGGUGCACUUUGCCGGGCACAGGCCAGCAUCAGUUUGUCUUGGGGGAAAAAGGCUUUGGGAACGUGGCUCCUUCGGGAGUGUUAUAGACCAUUGCAUAAUACCCUGAGAUGGACUGAGGUUCGCGCAUCUGCAAGGAUGCUGGCGUAAUGGUCAUCAGCGACCCGUCUUGAAACACGGACCAAGGAGUCGUCUUCGUAUGCGAGUGUUCGGGUGUAAAACCCCUACGCGUAAUGAAAGUGAACGCAGGUGAGAGCUUCGGCGCAUCAUCGACCGAUCCUGAUGUUCUCGGAUGGAUUUGAGUAAGAGCAUACGGGGCCGGACCCGAAAGAAGGUGAACUAUUCCUGUAUAGGGUGAAGCCAGAGGAAACUCUGGUGGAGGCUCGCAGCGGUUCUGACGUGCGAAUCGAUCGUCAAAUAUGGGAAUGGGGGCGAAAGACUAAUCGA
rnacentral:rRNA from 1 species